rnacentral:tRNA from 1 species
GGAGAGAUGGCAGAGUGGUCGAAUGCGGUGGUCUUGAAAACCAUUGAGGGUCACACCUCCGGGGGUUCGAAUCCCUCUCUCUCCGCAA